GGAUAAACCCAGGGUCCCUCCCUGUCCCAUCCCCGUGUCCGUGUCCCUGCCACCUCUCUGUGUCCCAUCCCUGUCCCCUCGGGGUGUCCCCUGUGUCACCUCCAGCUCCCUGCUGGCCACCAGGAAGAUCCGGGCCCUGAUGUCCUUCCAGCGGCUCUCGGUCCACGUGGAGAAUUCCCGCGAGUCCCAGCGGCGCAGCUCGAAGGCCGGGGACAGCGCGGGGGACAGACGGACGCCGGAGCGGACACAGCCGGGAAUCCGGGACGAGGAGUUCCCGUCCAGGGGGCCCUGCACCCACCAGUACUCGUACAGCUGGGAAAGCGGGAAUUACACAGGGGAAAAUGGGAAUUACACAGGGGAAAUGGGAAUUAUACAGGGGAAAAUGGGAAUCACACAGAAAAUGGGAAUUAUACAGGGGAAAUGGGAAUUACACAAGGAAAUGGGAAUUAUACAGGAAAAUGGAAAUUAUACAGGGGAAAUGGGAAUUAUACAGGAAAAUGGGAAUUAUACAGGGGAAAAUGGGAAUUAUACAGGGAAAUGGGAAUUAUACAGGGGAAAAUGGGAAUUAUACAGGAGAAAAUGGGAAUUAUACAGGAAAAUGGGAAUUAUACAGGGGAAAUGGGAAUUACACAGGGAAAUGGGAAUUAUACAGGGAAAUGGGAAUUAUACAGGGGAAAAUGGGAAUUACACAGGGGAAAAUGGGAAUUACACAGAAAAUGGGAAUUAUACAGGGGAAAUGGGAAUUAUACAGGGGAAAUGGGAAUUAUACAGGGGAAAAUGGGAAUUACACAGGGGAAAUGGGAAUUACACAGGGGAAAAUGGGAAUUAUACAGGGGAAAAUGGGAAUUAUACAGGGGAAAAUGGAAUUACACAGGGAAAUGGGAAUUACACAGGGGAAAAUGGGAAUUAUACAGGGAAAAAUGGGAAUUAUACAGGGAAAAUGGGAAUUAUACAGGGAAAAAUGGGAAUUAUACAGGGAAAAUGGGAAUUAUACAGGGGAAAAUGGGAAUUAUACAGGGAAAUGGGAAUUAUACAGGGAAAUGGGAAUUAUACAGGGAAAAUGGGAAUUAUACAGGGAAAUGGCACAGAAAUGGAAAUUAUACAGAAAAUGGGAAUUACACAGGGGAAAAUGGGAAUUACACAGGGAAAAUGGGAAUUAUACAGGGGAAAAUGGGAAUUAUACAGGGGAAAAUGGGAAUUACACAGGGAAAUGGAAAUUAUACAGAAAAUGGGAAUUAUACAGGGGAAAAUGGGAAUUACACAGGGGAAAAUCGAAUUAUACAGAAAAUGGGAAUUACACAGGGAAAAACGGGUAUGAGAGCUGGGAAUGGCACAUGGAAAAUGUGAAUUACAGCUGGGAAUGGGAAUGAUAGCUAGGGAAAAAGGGAAUUACACAUGGAAAAACCCAAAUCCCAUCCCAAUCCCAAUCCCAAUCCCACAUUUGGGAUUACCUCGGGCAGCGUUCCGGGUGUUUUCCCGGGGCUCUGGCACCGCUCCCAUAAUCCCAAAUCCCGGAUUACCUCGGGCUGCGUUCCCGGUGUUUUCCCAGGGUUCUGGCACUGCUCCAGUUAUCCCAAUCCCAAUCCCAUUAUCCCAAUCCCAUUAUCCCAAAUCCCAAUCCCAUUAUCCCAAUCCCAUUAUCCCAAUCAGAAUUCCCACCUUGGGCAGCGUUCCGGGUGUUUUCCCGGGGCUCUGGCACCGCU
rnacentral:lncRNA from 14 species